CAUGCCAGGUCAUUGGGAUGAAUCCGCCACCUGGAAUUUAACGCCACCCAAUCGGGUAUAUAACAUCAACCACAUCCCUGACAAGAAGACCGCCGACUGAUAAAGCACAUUUACUGAGAGCUGUAUUGUAUGCAUCUAGUUUCGUUUUUUUUGUUAAACUUUAUUCACAAAUUAUACAUUUACGGUGCUCUAGACGAUUGAGGACUGCCUAUUAACUUUGAUUUGUAAAUUGAUUGGAACAGCCUUUAGAUGAUGAUUCCACCCGGGGACUGCUUAUAUGCUGGGAGGAAGAGAAGGAAGCCCAUCCAAAAACAAAAACAGACAGCGGCCAGCCAGAAGAGCAACCCGUCUAAGAGGCACCGUGACCGUCUGAAUGCAGAGCUGGAGCGGUUGGCCAGUCUCCUACCCUUCACCCCAGACAUCAUCUCCAAACUGGACAAGCUCUCAGUGCUGCGCCUCAGCGUCAGCUACCUCCGGGUCAAAAGCUUCU